UCUCUCUCUCUAUUCCUUUGUUUCACUUAGUGUGCAGGCUGUUAUGUAACAUCCCCAUAUGCCUGCUUCUGCUUCUUCUUCUUUACACAUGCACACACAUGAGACAUAGCACACCUAAGGAGCAAUCAAAUUGAUUUUAAACCUCUUGACAUUUUUUUUUUGUUUUUGUUAUCUAUACAGCCUUCCUAAAAUCGUUUGUUGUAAUUUUGCCAUGAAUUUUAAAGGGAUUCAUUCUGUUUCCUCAAUGGAGCAGGCUUUACCUCUAUCCCACUCCUUUGUUUUGUGUGUUUGUGCCCCGUGCAUCUGCACAUGGCAGGGAAACUUGCUUCUUAGGUGUUCUAAAAAUGUCUAUAUAAAUAUUUGUCCUUACAUAUAUAAUAUCUGAACAAAUUACAAGACCAUAUAUCUAUUCCCUAGUUUUUUUCUUUGUUCAUUUUUAACACAAAAAAUUGCAAAUUUUGCAUGUGAGGUUCUAUGUUAAAAUUUUCAUAUCUUGCAUCAUUGGGGUGAUACUGUGAUUGAGUUCGCUUCUGAUAUUCUGAUAAAUGACCGUAAAACUUUCAUGACUGAAAUAAUAUAUUUUUAAGGUUGUAAUUUUUGUUAGAGGUUGAUCUUUGUAUGGUUUUUUUUUCUUAAUCUUUGAUUUUAUCUUUUCCUUGGGGCUGUGGAAUUUCUCUUAUUCUCUGUAAAAUUCCUGACCUUGGCCAUGAAAAUCCAUCAUUUGAUUUUUUCUAUCAUGCCCAUUUACGCAUAUCUGGCUAUUCAGAUAUUUUUUACAUUGAUGCAGUUCCUGACCUUGGCUAUUCAGUUCCUUGAGUUGGUUUACAUUGAUACAUGCAUGCCAAAUUUUCACGCAAAUAAUUGAGUCAUAUAUUAUCCAGAUUUCAGCAUUAAAUGCUUGGUUGCAUUAAUCUGUUUUCUCUUGCUAUGGCACCCCAGGUAAAGUGGAAUACUCACAAGGAUUGGUUGCAGCCAGCUCCAUUUAGUCAUAAUAAAGCUUAGUUGAGCUGGAGUUACAUAACUAAAUUUUAUAUUUUCUGUAGCUGGACAGUGAAACACACAAUUAUUAGUUUAAUUUAUAAUUCUGCUUGGAAUUAAUCAGUUCUUCCAAAUAAUGAUUAUGCUUAUGAGAUCUUGGAUGGUUGUUCUGCUCACAUAAUUCUGAAUAUUGGUAGAGUUCAUGGAAAGUUAAUUGUCUUUUGCUGCCCCUUUUCUUUUUUCUUGUUGUGUUUUCAUUGUCAUAUUUUCAUCAUUAAUAUUAUGGAUUAUUUUUCCUUAAAGGUUGGUGGCUUGGGAGACGUUGUUACUGGUCUUGGAAAAGCACUCCAAAAGAGAGGACAUCUUGUGGAAAUUAUUUUGCCAAAAUAUGAUUGCAUGCAAUAUGAUGGUAUUGGCAAUUUGAGGGCCCUAGAUGUAGUGUUGGAGUCAUAUUUUGAUGGAAAAUUAUACAAAAACAACAUAUGGGUUGGCAUCAUUGAAGGUCUUCCUGUUUACUUUAUUGAGCCUCUUCACCCUGGCAAGUUCUUUUGGAGAGGGCAUUUUUAUGGAGAACAUGAUGAUUUCAAACGUUUUUCAUUUUUCAGCCGUGCUGCACUUGAAUUUCUUCUUCAAGCUGGCAAAAAACCGGACGUAAUUCAUUGCCAUGACUGGCAGACGGCUUUUGUUGCACCACUUUAUUGGGAUAUAUAUGCUCCAAAAGGAUUGAAUUCAGCGAGAAUAUGUUUUACGUGUCACAACUUUGAGUACCAAGGGACUGCACCUGCAUCAGAAUUGGCAUCUUGUGGACUUGAUGUCCAGCAGCUAAACAGACCAGAUAGAAUGCAGGACAACUCAGCACAUGAUAGGGUCAAUCCUAUUAAGGGUGCUGUGGUGUUCUCGAACAUUGUGACAACAGUAUCACCCACCUAUGCACAAGAAGUGCGGACUUCUGAGGGUGGAAGAGGUCUCCAUUCAACUCUUAAUUUUCAUGCCAAGAAGUUCAUUGGAAUUCUUAAUGGAAUUGAUACUGAUGCAUGGAAUCCUGUGACUGAUACUCUUCUCAAAGUCCAGUACAGUGCUAAUGAUCUUCAAGGGAAAGCAGAAAACAAAAUAGCUACAAGAAGGCGUCUUGGAUUAUCAACUGCAGAUGCUAGGCAGCCAUUGGUAUCCUUCCUUCAAAAGAUCCAAAUGAUUCACUUCCACUUUUUCUGGGAACUGUUGGGCUUAAAUGCCUAAUUUUUUGGAUAUCAUUUAAUGGUGUUUCAUUGAUAUAUCAAUCAAUAUUUUUCUUGAUCCUUUGAUGGAUCAACCUUGGGAAACAUAUGUUGAACAUGUAGUGUUAAGAGUUUUAUUGAGAAUUUUACUUUGCCCAUUAAGAAGAGACUCCAUCCCACUAUACAGCAUGAGGCCACAACUCAUAAUGGCUUUUUUUUUAAACCUUUUGUGUGUAAGCUUUAGCUGUUUUCUGUCAUCUCAGAUUUGCUUUGGUAUAUAUACACACACUGAAACAUAUAUAUUAAGUUUUAUUUUCAGGAGUGAUUGAUAUAUAGUAAUUGUGGGAUCAUAAGGGAGCUUAUGAGGAUACCAAAAGCUUGUCAGCAUUAUAUUUUCUUUGUGUCAUUUGAUUCUUUAUUGGGAGUUGUCUUGAAUAUUUGUUAGUUUCUUUGAUGAAUCCUAGAAGUCUUUCAUCUUUUAUUGAAUAGGUGGGCUGCAUAACAAGAUUGGUGCCACAGAAAGGUGUACAUCUUAUUAGACAUGCAAUAUACCGAACACUAGAGUUGGGAGGACAAUUUCUACUUCUUGGCUCAAGCCCAGUUGCUCAUAUACAGAGGGAAUUUGAGGGUAUUGCAAAUCAUUUUCAGAAUCAUGAGCACAUUCGGCUGAUAUUGAAGUACGAUGAAUCUCUCGCUCAUUCCAUUUAUGCAGCAUCUGACAUGUUCAUCAUCCCAUCUAUCUUUGAGCCUUGUGGCCUUACACAGGUAAAGCCAUCAAUCUUGCCUAUGCAAAUGUUCUAGAAUGGAAAAUGACCAGAGUACAGUAUUCACUCCCGUGCCAAUGAUAUCUACUGGAUUUGGAAGUGAUAUCUUCAUAGAUCUCACUGUGAAGCUGAAACCUGGUGAACAUGAAUUAAUUUGUAGGAUAAUUCUUGGGGCUUCAGGACCUUGACAUUGACUUAACAUAUGAUCUUCUGUUCAUACAAAACCCUUAUAUUUUAUUCAUAUUAUUGUCAGUUCCAAAUGUCUGCAAUUUAAUUCUUCUGUUUCUAUGUCUAUAAUUAUCUGCAGAUGAUAGCAAUGAGAUAUGGUUCCAUACCCAUUGCAAGAAAAACUGGUGGUCUAAAUGAUAGGUGACAUAAUUGACUUAUUACAUAUUCACCAAUUUUCCUGAAAUUAUUUUGAAGUAUCAUUGUUCAUUAACUCUUGAUUUUUUUUUUCCUUCCCUCCUAUUAGUGUUUUUGAUGUUGAUGAUGACACAAUUCCUCUUCAGUUUCAAAAUGGAUAUACAUUCUUGAAUCCUGAUGAAAAGGUAAAUGACUAAAGCUGCAUGCUUGGUUUUAUCUUAAUUACAUUAGUAUACCUAGGCUUUGAGCUAAUAAAAUUUUCUAGUAUUACCAGUCAAUCAGUUAAUGUACCUGCAUGGGCUACAAUAGGACUACAAUAUAAUCUAUAAUGGACCUUUUAAUUUCUUCCUCUGCUUUGCAAUUUUGUCCAAUUUGUAUUGAACAUACUCACCUGGGCUGUUAUUUUGAUGGUUCAAAAUGUUUCACCAACAUUUGCAGGGGGUAAACAGUGCUUUAGAACGUGCAUUUAACUAUUAUAGGAACAAUCCUGAGGGGUGGCAGCAGCUUGUUCAGAAGGACAUGAAAAUAGAUUUUAGUUGGGAAUCUUCAGCAUCACAGUAUGAGGAGCUUUACUCAAAGUCAGUGGCCAGGGCAAGAGCAGCAGCAAGUCAGUCUUAAUUAUCGUAAAUAGGCAUUUUCAUGGAAGCUGUGAAGCUGUACUUGAGUUGGCUUGAUUCAUGAAUGUGAAUUUAUAGGCCAUGAACUAAGAAAUCCAGGCCAGCAAAGUGCCCUUACAGAGUAAGUUGACAUGUCCUUUAGGGGGGGUGGGUGGGGGGGGGUUGGUGUGGGGGGUGGCGGGGGUG
rnacentral:misc_RNA from 1 species